rnacentral:lncRNA from 1 species
UGCUCUCUGUUGAGGGAACUGAUGCUGCCGUGGUACAAAUUGAUUACUAGCAGGAAUCGUUACCGCAGCAGUGUGCUGGUAGUAAUGAUCCCCACCGUAUCCUCUCUGGGCAUGGGCAUACACAGCACUCGCGCCAUCCUCCUUCUUAUGCUGACCAUUACCAAAGGAUUUCUUCGAUCCAGACGACGAAGCGUUUCCUGGUAUUUUCCCCUUCUUCAAC